ACCAGGACGUUGAUAGGUCAGGUGUGGAAGUGCAGUAAUGCAUUAAGCUAACUGAUACUAAUUGCCCGUACGGCUUGUCCCU
rnacentral:rRNA from 1 species